rnacentral:lncRNA from 10 species
CUCGAUUCUGCUGAGUCACUAUGAGAAGGCAAAUAUUGUCAGAAGCCUUGCGUCUGAGUGGUUGGAAAGGAGGUGGCUGGGAAACACCUACUCUAGGCUUUUGGUGUUUCUUUUCCUGCAGAGGGUACUUCACUAGAACAAUUUUUCUGAUUGUUUAUUCCUUUGCAUACUCCUCUCUAGGAGAAGUGAAGUGGCUUAUGCUUUUCAUCCAUUUCAAAGCCCCCUCCUCUCAUCUUUUCUCCCCUCUUUAGGACCCAGCUGCCAAGGAACAGGCUUUCUGUCCCAUCCUCACAUGCUGUAUGUUUCACAUGGUUCCCUUGCCUGCAUUAAGCAUUCGGAAGUCAAGAAAAGAAGAAUGUGGUUUCUUGGGCUGCUUCAAAAGCCAAAAUUGAGAUUACAAGAGAAGAGGCAAAAGUUUUAUUCUCCCAAAAGAAAGUGCACUCACUACAACUUCAUCAUGCUGGAUGAAAUUAGCAGAAGUGAAAUUGAAGCUGAAGAGUCCGGAAAUAGAAGGACUAUUUGGUAA